AUGAAACACAGAUAUCAUUUUCAGAAGCAUAAAACAAAGAUGAGCAUUUUAAUAGCUAAGUUUACACAAGAUAAUGCCCAUUAAAGUUGGUUAUAUUUUUGUCUGAAUGACAAUAAAUCCAUAUUUUUGUUUUUUUGUAUAUUUAGGUAAGAAUUAUUUUAUUACACAAAUCUUUUGCCUGUUUAAAUUAAACGUUACUUCGUUUUUGAAGUCACGUGAUGACUGAAGUCUGUGAUUCAUUUCAAAUAUUUUAUUACCGAUAAUUCUGAAUCAUUUGUUAUAUAUUGCAUGUAUUUUGAUUUUAUUAUUAUUUUCAGCAUAAUUUUAUUUAUAUGUCAUCAAGAAAAUUAUGAAAAAGACGUUUUAUUUUAUUGAAAUCCAUUGAUUUUUGCUAUGUUCAUUACAAGCAUGUUAUUAAAUACAUCUCUGUUAAUUGUUUUUCCUUGCCUCUCAAUUUUUUUGUUCCCUUAGUCGUAGCCACAAUUUAUCCUUCAUUUACUCGUUUAACAUCAUCACUGAUAAUGACCAGAAGUUAUCUCUACUAUUCUUGAAAUCUGGUACCUUUAUACUGACUACCAAGUCGAUGAUACCGUCGGGAAUAAACAGUCUCAUCGAGCCAACAGUAGAAGCCUUCAUAAGGAACACACAAAUGUUAAAAUGAAAUUAAAAAAAAAUAUACAGAAUUUAUUUUAAAAGAAGAAUAACAAAAAUACAGAACUCCGUGGAAAAUUCAAGACGGCAAGUCUCUUAUCAAAUGGCAAAAACUCAAACACAUCAGACGAAUGGAU
rnacentral:lncRNA from 1 species